rnacentral:tRNA from 1 species
UGGCAGGUAGUUCAAAUGGAAGAACACUAUUAUCCUUAUUCACAACUUGCCUGAAUAGGCCGAAGAAUUGAGGGUUAUCGUCUGCAACACGAGAGGUUGCGGGUUCGAGUCCCGCUCUGCCAC